rnacentral:rRNA from 1 species
UACGUAGGGGGCAAGCGUUGUUCGGAAUUACUGGGCGUAAAGAGUGUGUAGGCGGUGUUCCCAGUCUGUUGUGAAAUCUCCCGGCUUAACUGGGAGGGUGCAGCGGAAACUAGAAUGCUAGAGGGUGGGAGAGGUAAGCGGAAUUCCUGGUGUAGCGGUGAAAUGCGUAGAUAUCAGGAGGAACACCUGUGGUGUAGACAGCUUACUGGACCACUUCUGACGCUGAGACACGAAAGCGUGGGUAGCAAACAGG